rnacentral:piRNA from 1 species
AUACAUCGGAUCUACGGCACACC